AUAGAUCUAGUUAAUAUACAUAACCUUAACUUGUCAAGUUAAAAUAGCUUUUGCGACCUAUA
rnacentral:tRNA from 1 species